GUGGAAAAAUAUAUUUCAAUAAUUUCUCAUAUCUUUAUGUAUAUUUUUUUCCACAGUGGUUUAAAGUCAACUUUGGAAAAGGAAACAUUCUUCCUAUCAACCUCAGGAAGAGAGAUCUAUGAUGUUUCCUAUGACAUCUUGCGGUACCACAGAAAGGAAGAUUAAAAAAAAGUCACUUUUCAUUUUCAAAGUGUAAAUAUAGUGCCAUGUUUUAUGUGUUUACCAUCUUCUUAAUCCUAGAUACAAAAUUUCCGACAUCUCUAGCCAGCUUGUCAGGAAGGUUUGUGAAACUUGGACCAUUCCUAAUUAUACAGGCUCAGAAAAGACUGUUUUCCAAAUAUCUGGCACAUACCAACCUCAUGACUGAAAGAAGCUAUAGAGAAAAGACACUUACUGAUAUUUGCCAUGGCUGCCACCUAGUUAUACAAGCAGGGCAAGUCAUGAGCGAUGAGCCACAAGCCAGCACCUCAAAAAGAAAUCUGGAUCCAGAAGAUCAUCGGGCAAGCCAGGAUGAAGUAGACUCAACUCCAAAGGAUGACAAGAGCGAGGAAGAAGAGGACAUCACUUCCCAGGACACAAUCAGUGACCAGGAUGAUACUGGCUGGACUUCAAGUUGAAUAGACUGUCAAUUUUAUUUUUUAUGAAAAAAAUCUGGUUCCAGAAGAUCAUCAGGCAAGCCAGGAUGAAGCAGACUCGACACCAAAGGAAGACAAAAUGCAAUCUUCUGAUGAAGUUACUGAACAGGAUCAGAGUAGCUCUGUAACCCUAAGAAGAACAUUUGCUGAGGCUGGUGUCCACAAGAAGCAUGAUGCGAAUUCCCAAAUGUUUCUGAACUUCAGAGAAUACCUGGCAAUUCACUUCAGAGUUGGGCAUAAGCCAAAUUAAAAUGUUUCCUGCUACUUAUAUUUUGUGAGCACGGAGGAGAUCUCUUUGGGAUUUCUCAGUGAACCAGAGAAAACCAAACUAUAUAUGAGCACCCUCUUGCGUUUGAAGACGGCUAUAAAUACCAUCAAAAAUUACCUUAACCAUAUCCAGCAGUUUACUAGAUUUGUGAUUUUGGAAAAAACUUCCACGAAACCAUCAGGGAGCACACCAAAGAGUCUGCCCGGUCCUUCCUUGCAGAACUGAAGAAAAUACAUGGAGAUUAACCAGAACUUCACCAAAAAGCCACAAAAAAAAUUGAAGCAAGGGUUAGGCCAUAAGAACUAAAUUACACAGGGGGCAGUGGGAAUUUAGUCCCAAAUAUUUAGUAGUUACUACCUUAUUAAUAUUGGUAUUGCAUGGCUCUGAAUCAUUUAGGAUUUUUUUUUUUUAAUCAAUUAACACAACUGUAUUUUUUUUUUCUUUAUCAGUGACAGACAUGUAAACCCUAUGGAUUGCCACACUAGCAGCAGAUUACUAGCAGCAGCAAAGCCCCAUGUGGUAAACAUGUUCUCUCGGUCAGAGAUUGUGGACUGGAUGACAAAGACAAGACCAUCACAUGCCACUACCUUGAAGCUUUGCUGAUGCUUAAUCAUCUUCGCAAACCAGUGGUCCAAACCUGAUGGUUAAAGAUUGGCUGGAGAGGAAAUAUACCACCUAUUUUGAUGGAAGCACCAAAAAGAGGGUCUGCAUUGUGAAAACACAAGGGACUGCUAUUGUGCUUGCGGAUGAGGAGGAGCUGCUGUUCAGCACAUACGUUAAAGAUAUCCGCCCAACCCAACUGGCAAAGGAAUCAAAGACAGUGGAGUUUUGUGUUGCACAAAGGAAAACCAGUCACAAAUCCGUGCAAUGACAAAGACUUCAUGAGAAGUUUAAGAUACCUGCAGUAUCUGGAAAAGAGGCAUUUGAUCAGUGGGCCGAUGACAAUCUAUGUCAGAAAGAUAGAGACAUUGUUAAUUAUAUCCACCUGGACAUCAGCCAACUCAGAUUCAGUAAAAAUGCAGUUAUCCAGGGUAUGUAUAUUCUCACCACAUUGAGGGGUGCAAAUGAAUCUGAAGAAGAAUCAGAAGAAGAUCAAGUAGAAGCAGAAGAGGAAUGAGGAGAAGGAGGAGCUGAAAGCACUGCAAGUGUUGAAGACCUUUUAGACCUUAACGAGGAGAGCUUCCAAAGAUUACCUCCAAUAUAUCCUUUAGGCCUCAACCAGUCCCCUCCAUCCUUAAAUGUAUGUAGGCAGGCCAGCCAACUCAAUGCACAAUACUGCCUGGGUAAAUAGAGACGAACACAAUAUACAGAUCAUAUCAAGGAUAUUGUUGAACAUUUCAGGAAUCUUCCCAGCAAAGAGCAAGUGAAGGUUUUUAUGGAACAUCAGGCCUGGACACCAAUGUGCCAAGAACAUUUGACAUUCUACAGGCCUGAAGACCUCGAGAAGAAAAGAGGACACUAUGGAACAUAUUAAAGCUUUAAUAGACUGCCAGGAGUGACCAGGACGUGUGGCUGUGAUGGAUAAAAAUAAAUAAAUAAAUAAAAUUAAUGGAGGUCACUCCCUUAAAACCAAUAGGGUCUUUCAGAAAGGAGAGAUUGUCUGUGACUAUUACAGAGUCCUAAUGGAUGGCAAGGAGGCUGAGGAGCUACAAAAAACAUUGACAAGAAAUGUUAUAGCUUCUUCCAGGACAAAGGGAAGAAGAUGUGCAUAAAUGCAACAAAUACACCUUGCCUGUGCCACCAAGACAUGUUGUCGACUUUUGGGAGGCUGAUCAAUCAUUCAUGCAAGAGGGCAAAUCUGAAACCUGUGGUCAAACAUAUUAAGGAUGGAAAACAGCCAGUUAUUCUCUUAGAGGCAAAGAGGAACCUUUCACCAGGAACAGAACUGUUAUUUGACUAUGGUGUCCGUAAACACUCGUUUGGUGAAGGAAGAAAGCUAAGUUGGCUUGAAACGUGAUAAAAGAAUGCCAUAAUAUGUCAAAGUGUAAUAUAAGGAUAAUAUAUUAGUGUUAGAAUGGUCAAAAACAUUAUGUUAAUUAUUCUGUUAAAUUAUUGAACUGUUAGCUUCGAUUUGCUCAUCUCUAAUUAUGAUGUUUUUACCUUUA